ensembl:lncRNA
UGUGUGUGUGUGUGUGUUCCACAGGGGUAAAAAAAGACACAAUAACAGAUUUUUCAUUUUUGGGUGAACUAUUUUUUCCUCUGUGGAACACAAAGUGAAACUGGGCCAACUGAAUUUUCAUUUUUGGUUGAACUGUUUAUUUAAAUUUACAGCUUUAGUAAUCCUCAUGGAGAAAUUAAAACUUGGGCUACAAAAAUACUUCUGCACACAAAUACAAUAUUAUAAAACAAAAAGUAAUACAUUAAGAAACCCAAUAAAAUAAAAACUCAUAAUUCAGUCCAGCGUUUACAACAUAUUGUUAAAAACACUAAAAAAAAUUAUCUGGAGUACAAAUUUAUUUGUAAUACUAAGAACAGAUUUUGAUCAAAUUAUUAUUAGAUUAUGUUUUGUUUUGAUUCAUGGAAUAUUCUGUUUCUUGUGCUGUCUUUGUGGAGAAGAGAAAGCACAGCAUAUCCAUAUUCACCAAAUCUAAAUUCAGUUUGCUAGAGUUUUAGUGCUGUUGCACACACACAGACAUCUUUUGUUCAGCUCCGUGGGGAUUGAAAUAUGCUGGCAAUAUGUUACAGUAGCAUGUUUCUUAGCAACAAGGGCAGCAGUGGACAUGAAACAUGGGUGGCUGGAGAGGGCUUCACCUUGGCAGACUUAACGGAAGCAAUUUUUACAAUCCCACAGAGUGACAUGAAAUUGUCCAGUGGAAUUAGAAGAAAUCUACUGUGAUCAAAAACAGCAUUACACGUGAAUCACUCUUCAGAGACAUCUUAACUUUCAUCAAAAUAACUCUCAUUUUCCCCCAAUGCUUUUACCGUAAUCAGACAAAACAGAGUACUUUAUGACCUGUGUUGUCCAUUUCUAAAUAAGAUGUAGGUUUAUGCAUUAUUAGAUUUUAACCUGAUGGGAGAUCCAAUGUAUUAUGAAUUCCUUCUUUUCUUUUCUUUUUUUAUUGCCAGGACUGUGAAAAACAUUACAGACAUAUGCUUUCAAUUUACCGAACACGAUUGCUCAGUGCAGCACAGGGUUACAUGGAUGAAGAGGCCAGAGUGGCUCUGCUUCAGAUUGCCAAGAUGAGAGAGGAGUGUGUGUGUUGAGCAUUCAGUGUGCUGCUGUUGCUGAAUAUGUGUGUGUGUGUGUGU